rnacentral:misc_RNA from 3 species
AAUUCUCAAACCACAUCAGUUUUGCUGGUGUGGCUUUGGACUUGGGAGGUUAUUUUUUGCAGUCCUUUUCGCUAGAGGGUACUGCUCUCCUAAAAAAUAUUAGUGGGUGUCUGAAGCAGGAAACCACUAUAAGGGUGUGAUAAACUAUUUAUGUAUGCCCUUGGUAUGCUGCGAUUGAAUCCUGCUCUCUAAUCUUUUUGGAAAUUGAAAA